AGCGAACGCUGGCGGCAGGCCUAACACAUGCAAGUCGAACGAACUCUUCGGGGUUAGUGUCGGACGCGUGUGCAUCACGUGGGAACGUGCCUUCUUGGGCGGGAUAUCACAGUGAAACAUGUGCUAUAAUAGCAUGUGAUCUUCGUGGGAAAGAUUUAUCGCCAUUCGAGCGGCCCGCGUCUGAUUAGCUAGUUGGUGGGGUAAUGGCCCACCAAGGCGACGAUCAGUAGCUGGUCUGAGAGGAUGACCAGCCACACUGGGACUGAGACACGGCCCAGACUCCUACGGGAGGCAGCAGUGGGGAAUAUUGCACAAUGGGCGAAAGCCUGACGCAGCCAUGCCGCGUGAAUGAUGAAGGUCUUAGGAUUGUAAAGUUCUUUUACCGGGGAAGAUAAUGACGGUACCCGGAGAAGAAGCCCCGGCUAACUUCGUG
rnacentral:rRNA from 1 species